rnacentral:tRNA from 1 species
UUACCCUUUUUUAAUGAGAGUAAAUAUAAGGGUUAAAGCCCCUUCAACUCCU